rnacentral:misc_RNA from 1 species
AAGUCGUAACAAGGUUUCCGUAGGUGAACCUGCGGAAGGAUCAUUAUUGAAUAAACCUGAUGGGUUGUAGCUGGUUCCUUCGGGGACAAGUGCUCGCCUGUCAUCUUUAUAUCUCCACCUGUGCACUGCUUGUAGACCUGGAUAACUUUCUGAGGCAACUCAGCUCUGAGGACUGAUGUGUGUUUUGCGACGCCAGCUUUCCUUACAUUUCCAGGCCUAUGUUUUUCAUAUACCCCAUUGUAUGUAACAGAAUGUUUCACAAGGCUUUAAUGCCUAUAAACAAAAUACAACUUUCAGCAACGGAUCUCUUGGCUCUC